rnacentral:rRNA from 1 species
GACGAACGCUGGCGGCGUGCCUAAUACAUGCAAGUAGAACGCUGAAGGAGGAGCUUGCUCUUCUGGAUGAGUUGCGAACGGGUGAGUAACGCGUAGGUAACCUGCCUGGUGGCGGGGGAUAACUAUUGGAAACGAUAGCUAAUACCGCAUAACAGUAGAUGUUGCAUGACAUUUGCUUAAAAGGUGCAAUUGCAUCACUACCAGAUGGACCUGCGUUGUAUUAGCUAGUUGGUGGGGUAACGGCUCACCAAGGCGACGAUACAUAGCCGACCUGAGAGGGUGAUCGGCCACACUGGGACUGAGACACGGCCCAGACUCCUACGGGAGGCAGCAGUAGGGAAUCUUCGGCAAUGGACGGAAGUCUGACCGAGCAACGCCGCGUGAGUGAAGAAGGUUUUCGGAUCGUAAAGCUCUGUUGUAAGAGAAGAACGAGUGUGAGAGUGGAAAGUUCACACUGUGACGGUAUCUUACCAGAAAGGGACGGCUAACUACGUG